AUCUCUCUUUCUCAAACCCUAGCCGCCCAAAAACCGUCUGCCGGCGGCUCCACCCCAAACACUUAGAGGUGAAGAAAACAGGUCUGUUGUGUUAAAUGCCAACGUUUUCUAUACGAUAUUUGUUGUGUUAAAUUCUAGUUUCGUAUGAAAAAUAUGGAUCUAAGUAGGCACACUAAUAUAUUCUUAAAGAUGACUGUUCUUUUAAUCUUUUGUUAGGCCACAUAUUAUGAUUGAGGCCAUGGCCUCUCCCUUUGAGUUAUACGAAAUUGGGCUUCAAGUCCAGCCCACUUGUACUUACACAUGAUUCCUUGAGACUAGAAUAUGCAUCAAGUGAUAGGCACUGUUUUACCCCCCUAGUGUUUCAUUAAUUAAUUUCUUUUUCCUUCUUUUUAAGUAGUAUACACUCAUUCAAAUUAUUCCCAUAAUGAACAACCUUUCAUAUGAAAUCUUGAAUCUAGGAAAUUGUUGAACCUUCGUAUUCUGUUUCCACGCCCCACCCUUACAAUCUACUAGCCCAAUGUUCUAUGAAAGGGAUCCAGUUCAUGUAAACUCAAACGUAAGCCCAUGAUGAACCUUAAGGAAAGAACCACUUAGCUUAAAUAUUGCUGGGCUUAUUUGAUACAAACAUAUCACUUCCAACAUUUAUGCCACAACUUCGAACAUCAACAUUGGAAUACAAAAUUUAGGUAGGUAAUGAAUUCUUGAAUAUCCGUAGUUUGCUUUAGGCGCGAUUAAUAAAUCAUUGUAAUUAUGGGUACGGUUCCCGUGGCAUGGUCACGAUACAUAAAUCCCAAUUCAAGUGCGUGUUUCACGCGACUUGACCUCAACUUCAAAUAAUAAUAAAAAUAGACAUGUUGUAAAUCACGGAUGCGUUUCACGUGGCGCGAUUUGCAAUAUGUACAAAAAUAGAGAGUGCGCAAUAUCGCGACUUGUUCAAAUAAAUUUCAUAAAUAUUAAAAACGGUUAGAAAGUAAAAAUGCACAUAAGUCUUUAAACACAUGUAACCGGAUAAUUAAGUCAGGUAUUAAUUGUUAAGCGACCGUGCUAAAACCACAAAACUCGGGAGUGCCUCACACCUUCUCUCGGGUUAACAGAAUUUCUUACUCGACCUUCUGUGUUCGUGGACCAUAAAUAGAGUCAACUUCCUUGAUUUGAGAUUUUAAAAUAAACUGGUGACUUGGGAUAUCAUAAUAAAUAUUUCAAGUGGCGACUCUAAUUAAAUAAACAAUCUCAUUUCGAAUAAUGUCACUUUAAUUGGAAAAACUCUCUAUUUUUUGAAAAAAGGAGGUGUGACACUAACAAUUAUGUUCAAUUACAUUCAAAGUGUAGUAAUUAGAGUGUAAAAUAUAGUUAAAACAUGAGUUCUUAGCCUACCAUCAGUUUCAAAACUUUUAUAGACACAUCAAUAUUAUAAUAUAUUUAAAAUCACAGUGUAUACGGUCAAAAUAGGUUUCGGCCUUCGUACGUUUGAUCGAGUUCGAAACAUAAUCGAUCGAAGUGAGACUUCGAGAUGGGUUCCGAAGAUGGUACAAACAAGCUUCGAGCCCGAGAGGCCGAUCAAUGUCGAGCUCGAUAUCAUUAUCAAGCUCGAAUCUAAAUCGAACUAUGAUGCAAAGUAAAGUUAUUGAGCUUAUGAUCCAGAGACCGACCAACAUUCACCCCGAAUCAAUUCAAGGGUCCGAGUCAGAAUCGAGCUCAAGCCAAGAUCGAGAGCUCGUGUCAAUAUCGAGCUCAUAGACAAGAGUUGUUGCAAUCUCACUAGAGGAGAGAAUCUUGGCAGGAAUUGUGGAAAAACUGAUUUAUCAUGGGUCUCCCACUGUGUAUUUUUAAUUAUAUCUAAAGUAAGAUCUCUCUACUAUAAAGGGGAUGGUUAUCAUUUCUAUAGAGGGCAAGUUUUUUUGCUUACAUUGUAAUUCAAGCACCAUAUUCUCCUAUAGUGAAGAGUUGUUCUUUCAAGCUUCUUAAA
rnacentral:lncRNA from 1 species